rnacentral:lncRNA from 1 species
AUUAAGAGAAGGGCCGAGGCACUGUGAGGGGUUUAGGUCCAAGGCCAAGGACAGGCAGUCCAGGAAGUGACCCACUGUGUGUGUGGCAUAGCCAGAAUACUGCUGUUCUCUCUGAGGUGUCCUGCGGGAUUCUGCUGAGCGACUGGGCCUUUGUGGUCUACCUGUACACCCUCCAGGGUUCUUGACUUCUCCCCAGCAAGCCAGAAGGCUCUUCCCGGAGGAAGCUGCAUUCCUAAGAUGCCUCAAGGCCCUCCUGAAGCAUGGCCAUCUGCAGUGCCCGCCCCAGCAUCAGAGAAUCACAGUCGCUGGCUCCGAGUUUUCCUGCACCUGCUUCUUUCCCCCCAGGGCUUCCCCCCAGGGCUCCUUUUGCCACCUGCAUUUGGCUUCUGGCCGGCAGUAGCUUCUCUUCCAGAUGGCUUUGAGAAAGACCAGCAGGAGUGGCGAGGUGUCUGGUGGAAUCAGGAGAUUCAUUGCUCCCUUGAAGAAGCUGACAGGUGCUGGAAAAAGGGGGAAUGUUUGAACCUCAGAAACUGAGGAGGGCUUGGCAAUCCCAGCCCAACUCCUUUAUUUAUUACAGGU